rnacentral:lncRNA from 1 species
CUUUAAAAUGCAUUAGUCAUUACCAUUGUAUUCCAGCUGAGUACAGGUUCCAUUUUCCUGGCACACCUCCUUCUUCAGAAGCAGAAGAACCACCAGGAUAUUUACAGCCAUGGAAGCAUUCCUUACAGAAGCAGAACACCACUAGAAAUCUGUUGGUCUGAGCCCUUCCAGCCAAAUGGCAAAAGCAAACCUGGUCACAUGAAAAGCAAACUACAAAAAAAGCAACAGUCAGAAGCAGGCUUUUGUUUGUUUUGAAGCUAAGCUGAGGCAAGAGGUGUUGCUUUGCCUGAAGUAGGACUUCAGCCAG